CCAAACCUGAAUGACUUUCUUUCUUCUGUUCUGUGGAACACAAAAUGGAUAUUUUGAAUAAUGUACUAGUCACUGUUUUUACGGAUAAGAUGGAUAAGAACUGAUCAAAGGAAACUAAAGGCCUACUUUGCAGUGCUGAUAAGCUCUCUUUAAGCACAAGAACUAUGUUCAUUUUUGCUGUUUAGAAAGGAGAACAUCUGUUUUAGUUAGUUAAUGUUUUCGGACCACAGAGGAUGUGGUAACGGUUUCAGACACUGUUAUUUAACCACCACAGAAUGUGGCAGGAAACGAUAGCGCUUCGCUGAUGGCAACAAAGAAAUUUUGAGUCAUGAGAGAUCCGAAGUCCAUACACAAGAUCUUCUGGAUCAUGGAAUUUCUGCCUUUCGCUUAAAAUAUAUUUAUGUGUUCUGUUAUAAGGGAGAAAACAAACUUUGCAGGGUCUUCAUGCUCAGUUAUGUGGUACCUGUCCAUAGUAUUUACCUUCACAGUAUAUGGAACCCAUGGUUGUGUGAUAACCAGUCCAGACCAGAAGGCUAAUGCUGGGACAGAUGUCCAUUUGUCGUGUAAUUUCUGGCAAUGUCCUGGACCUCUGGACAUCAUGUCUCUUAGUGUGGAGUGGGAAUUCAAGCACUGACCAGGAGAAACAAUCCAGGUGUAAAUCAUCUGCAGAAACGUCCUCCCUGGUUGCUGCCCCUGGCCUCAGUGGCAUCAGUGGCUGGGUUUGUGUUACUAAUUGGUACAGUUUUUUGGGGGAGGAAAGCUUACACGUCAACCCAGAGAGAAAACAACUCAAAGCAAAAUAUGGAAGAGGCUAAAACCAGCACUGAUGCUGAAGACAAGGGAAUUAUAUAUAAGGUGGGAUUCAGCAUGCCUGACCUCGCAGACGUGAACAGUCCACCUAGCAGUCCAGAUAACAUCUAUGUUACCAUGCAUGGUUUGCCAUUCGCACCAGAUGUUCCUGCCACAGCUGGACGCAACAGACGUCUUCCCUCUGAUUGGCAGCUGAAGGAUGAGGAACCCGUAUUUGUCCGCUGAUACCAAGAUUUAUUAGUCAGAUCAUGCCACUUGAAAGAUGAGACACAGAAUAAGUGAUUAUUUAAAUUAGUGAGAGUAAGUAUUGUCAGAUAUGCAUUAUAUAGUCCCAAAACAGACUGUUUUGUGUAUUAUUUUUCAAUACUCACCAGCUGUACAUCACUGUACAUUAUCCCUCAUAAUAAAUCUGUUAUUUCCUCAUGCACCUCUUUCAUCAUCUACCAGAUGUCAACAGUGGUCAAUAUAGUUUAGUUACUGCACUUCUUGUGAGCUUCAGCCCUCGACUUUUUCCUAUCUUCUCAAUGACUUCUCAUCAGCAUGAAAUUGCCAAUUCUUCUAACUGUCUCUCUGUCUCUGAAGAGGCAAACAAAAUUGCCCUGCAGUGGAGAAGUGGUUUUAGCAUUACACACUUAAUUAUUCAUGCCAACUGUCCUUUGAGAUUUAAGGAAUCACAGAUCACGAGUUUUGUAAAUCACAAUA
ensembl:lncRNA